GUUCCUGGCUCAGGAUGAACGCUAGCUACAGGCUUAACACAUGCAAGUCGAGGGGCAUCAGUUUGGUUUGCUUGCAAACCAAAGCUGGCGACCGGCGCACGGGUGAGUAACACGUAUCCAACCUGCCUCAUACUCGGGGAUAGCCUUUCGAAAGAAAGAUUAAUAUCCGAUAGCAUAUAUUUCCCGCAUGGGUUUUAUAUUAAAGAAAUUCGGUAUGAGAUGGGGAUGCGUUCCAUUAGUUUGUUGGGGGGGUAACGG
rnacentral:rRNA from 1 species